rnacentral:lncRNA from 10 species
UUGUCCUCUUUGGGAAACUUAUGAUCUCCCCAAACUGGCUUCUGUAAGGCCUCUCCCUUCCCAUUCCUCCUUUGUUCUUUAACCACUUUUGAUCUUCCCUUCAGCGACCUUGAAGCCUUUGAUAUAUCCCCCUUUUAACUCUACCACCUUCAUCCCUCUGUUCAUUCUGCCAGGCUUUUCAUUUCCCACUUCAACCUCUCAGCUCCCAACAGUCACUUGAACUAUAGACCCCUUGGCCUCCAUUGGGGGCUCUCCUUAAGAGACUGAGGGAUCCCUGAGGGAUCCCCAAAAGCAAUGAUUAGAGGCUGAAAACAGAAAAAAAACUUUGGAAACAGACUGGAUGUUUUGUACACUCAGAGAAUCCGACAACAGCUGCUCCAGCUGACACGUAUCCAGCUACUGGUCCUGCUGAUGAUGAAGCCCCUGAUGCUGAAACCACUGCUGCUGCAACCACUGCAACCACUGCUGCUCCUACCACUGCAACCACCGCUGCUUCUACCACUGCUCGUAAAGACAUUCCAGUUUUACCCAAAUGGGUUGGGGAUCUCCCGAAUGGUAGAGUGUGUCCCUGAGAUGGAAUCAGCUUGAGU